AACGAACGCUGGCGGCAUGCCUAACACAUGCAAGUCGAACGAAGCCUUCGGGCUUAGUGGCGCACGGGUGCGUAACGCGUGGGAAUCUGCCCCUUGCUUCGGAAUAACAGUUAGAAAUGACUGCUAAUACCGGAUGAAGUCUUCGGACCAAAGAUUUAUCGGCAAGGGAUGAGCCCGCGUAGGAUUAGGUAGUUGGUGGGGUAAAGGCCUACCAAGCCGACGAUCCUUCGCUGGUCUGAGAGGAUGAUCAGCCACACUGGGACUGAGACACGGCCCAGACUCCUACGGGAGGCAGCAGUGGGGAAUAUUGGACAAUGGACGCAAGUCUGAUCCAGCAAUGCCGCGUGAGUGAUGAAGGCCUUAGGGUUGUAAAGCUCUUUUACCAGGGAUGAUAAUGACAGUACCUGGAGAAUAAGCUCCGGCUAACUCCGUG
rnacentral:rRNA from 1 species